CAUAGCAACUCACUAACAAUGUAUCAGUCUAUGGCCACUUGUAAAACAUUUUUAGCCAGGACAUCAUUAAUUAGUGGGUUUUGUGAGUAUGUUAUAUCCAAAUGUCUAUCUCAUUAUCAUCUUCUUCAUUCUGUGGUAGGGUGAUGUUGCAUCUCUGAGUUGUCUAAGUGUGUUCAGAGCAUCAGUCAUGUUCGAUGACUGUAAGUAUGUGUGUGAAUGCCAGAGUCUCCACAGACUACUAAAGAUCAAACUUCUAUCUAUCUGCAACUAAUUAUAAAACCCUAAGCAUAUAAGUAGAUAUCUGUAAACGUACACAGUUUCACAAAUGUAUUAGUAGUUACCCAAUUUCUCAUUGAUCUCAUUCAAUGGUAAACUGCAUCCUGCAAGCAAACAAAUGAAUUGUUAAUGGUCAAAAAGAAAUUAACAUUUUCAAGAUCACUCCAGCUUGGUGGUGCUCCUCUGCAAGACAUGUAAAUCACACGUCUCUCUGCAGAGUGGUUUAAGUUCUGCAGGGUGUCAUAAAUGUCUCUUCCAGUUGUUUCCAUCACUGUUCAUAGGACCAGAGUCCAAACGUAUGUAGAAUAGACAUUCAAACAUACCAGUUGAGUUUGUUGUUUGGCAACAUGGGUUUCAGCUAUCUUCAAAGCUGCAGGCCUCGUCAACACUUGAGUUUUGUGGCCUCUACCAACCCCCAUCACCUCACUUCAGGCCUCUGUACUGUGGGGGAUAUUUAUGACUCCUCCAUUGUCCAUCCUCUGCAGGAAAAACUCUUCGUGGAAAGGGUGCUGGAUCCAGUUAUCUUACUGCUGUUAUGAUCCCAGCAGUCGUCAGUGUGCCAACGUAUGCACAGUAUAGUGACACAGCAUUAGAUGAUGUUCAUAGGAAACUGCUAUCAUCACCACCAUAGCUUCUGGCUCCUGUGCUUUUCACAGAAUCAUGAUGUCAUCCUUGGACUCCCUCUGCGCUGUCGUUGGAGCUUGGCACGCUCCCCUCAUCCUUCAGGUGCCCAUCCGUCGUCUACAAUCUCCUCUGUUGGCCUCUGGAAAGCCCCCUUGGCACAGCUCUCAUUCCAACGCAGCUUCAUGGUCCUUGCUGUGGCUGUGAAAUCUGAUCUCAUGAUGGGCCCCAAACAGCUCGACCUUUGACCUCAACCACUGCCUGGGCUGUCAGCUCUGCCUGGAAUGGGUUCUUGCUUCUCACUGGGCCUCUGAAGAUUUCUCAGGAGAUUCCUUUCAGCAAUACUCUGACUGCUGCAGCUGUAUUUCCUUGCUAGGAGGAAAAACUUCUAUUUGGGGAGCAUGUCAAUCAUCAUCAAACCACAUUCUUUAGCUCAGUGAGCUUCAUUUAUGGACCAUCA
ensembl:lncRNA